rnacentral:rRNA from 1 species
GCAAGUCGAACGCACACUUUCGGGUGUGAGUGGCGGACGGGUGAGUAACGCGUGGGAACCUGCCCCGAGGUCUGGGACAACCGUGGGAAACCGCGGCUAAUACCGGAUGUCUCCUGAGGGAGAAAGGCUUGCCGCCUUGGGAGGGGCCCGCGUUGGAUUAGCUUGUUGGUGGGGUAAUGGCCUACCAAGGCUGCGAUCCAUAGCUGGUCUGAGAGGAUGAUC